AGAGGGGUCCGCGGGAGCCCAGAGGGGCUGAGAGGGCCACGUGCCGACCGCUGAACCUGAAACGGAUAAUGCCGUCGUAGGAAAGGGCACGCAUGCGCAUC
rfam:Microbacterium hydrocarbonoxydans strain SA35 RS84_contig000009, whole genome shotgun sequence.